UAAUACAGAGGUGGCAAGCGUUGUUCGGAAUUACUGGGCGUAAAGGGCGCGUAGGCGGCCGCCUAAGUCGGACGUGAAAUCCCCAAGCUUAACUUGGGAACUGCGUCUGAUACUGGGCGGCUUGAGUUCGGGAGAGGAAUGUGGAAUUCCAGGUGUAGCGGUGAAAUGCGUAGAUAUCUGGAGGAACACCGGUGGCGAAGGCGGCAUUCUGGACCGAAACUGACGCUGAUGCGCGAAAGCCAGGGGAGCAAACGGGAUUAGAUACCCCGGUAGUCCUGGCCCUAAACGAUGAGUGCUUGGUGUGGUGGGUAUCGAUCCCUGCCGUGCCGAAGCUAACGCAUUAAGCACUCCGCCUGGGGAGUACGGUCGCAAGGCUG
rnacentral:rRNA from 1 species